UACGAAGGGGGCUAGCGUUGCUCGGAAUCACUGGGCGUAAAGGGUGCGUAGGCGGGUCUUUAAGUCAGGGGUGAAAUCCUGGAGCUCAACUCCAGAACUGCCUUUGAUACUGAAGAUCUUGAGUGCGGGAGAGGUGAGUGGAACUGCGAGUGUAGAGGUGAAAUUCGUAGAUAUUCGCAAGAACACCAGUGGCGAAGGCGGCGCACUGGCCCGAUACUGACGCUGAGGCACGAAAGCGUGGGGAGCAAACAGG
rnacentral:rRNA from 1 species